rnacentral:tRNA from 1 species
GGGAAUGUGGCCUAGUGGCAGAGUGCUUGCCUAGCAAGCAAGAAACCUUGGGUUCGAUUCCUUAGUACCA